rnacentral:rRNA from 1 species
AUUGAACGCUGGCGGCAUGCCUUACACAUGCAAGUCGGACGGCAGCAUAGAGGAGCUUGCUCCUCUGAUGGCGAGUGGCGAACGGGUGAGUAAAGCAUCGGAACGUGCCGUGUAGUGGGGGAUAACGUAGCGAAAGUUACGCUAAUACCGCAUACGCACCGAGGUGGAAAGCAGGGGAUCGCAAGACCUUGCGCUAUACGAGCGGCCGAUGUCAGAUUAGCUAGUUGGUAGGGUAAAGGCCUACCAAGGCGACGAUCUGUANCGGGUCUGAGAGGAUGAUCCGCCACACUGGGACUGAGACACGGCCCAGACUCCUACGGGAGGCAGCAGUGGGGAAUUUUGGACAAUGGGCGAAAGCCUGAUCCAGCCAUGCCGCGUGCAGGAUGAAGGCCUUCGGGUUGUAAACUGCUUUUGUACGGAACGAAAAGACUCUGGUUAAUACCUGGGGUCCAUGACGGUACCGUAAGAAUAAGCACCGGCUAACUACGUG